ACUACUGGGCUUGGGAGGCGUACGAGCGACUGCGUUAGGUCCGUCCACUCGCGGCCGUAAACCCUAAUCCAGUCCCGAUCGAGGCGCGGCGGAGCGACCACAUACUCCUUAUUCGGUUGCUUCCAAGAAAAAGCCCCGAUUGGAGGCGCAGCGGGAGCGACCGCAUCGAAUCCAUCCACUCCGGAUCCGAGGCGCAGAGAGGACCCAAUGCAUCCAGUCUGUCCCGAUUCAAGGUGCGGCGGACCGACCACGUCGAAUCCAUCCAGCCCGGAUUCAUCCACUCCGUGAAUCGCCGUCCGGCUGUUCGUCUCUUGAAACUGCUACCGUGGGUUUGAAGGAAGUAAUCACUCUUCAGUUUCUCUCCAACCAUUCAUGACGGAUGAUGUGCGCCCCUCGCGGUCCUUAAUGGAUGCCUGGCUCUUUGUUUCUCAUUCUUCCGCUGUGUAUAUAUGCUUCCUCUAGGCUAACUUUUCUAACUCCAGCGACAGAACAUCCAUCAGCAUGGUGCUCUUCUAGGUUCCCCUCUGUCUUUAUUUUUUAUCAUCCAUGUACGAUAUUUGCUUCUUCCACCCAACUUGUACAGGUAUUGUUCAAACUGGGAGAUGGUCGAUUGAUUCGGCCAGAUAUUGGAAACUGGUUCUCGCAUUUUUUUUCUGAAAUUCUUUAGGUGAUAGUUCUAAUGGCUUCUGGACAGGUAAUUACUUCACUUGGACUACCAGAUUUCAUUUUUCGAUUCAUGUUUUACCAUCCAUGUUUUUACAGCAUAGAAGAUUAAUUACUCAUAUAUCUGUUAUCCACACCAUGGUUCUUCUAUUUGUUGCUGUACGCAACAGGUUUAAGUGGAGCAGUGUAGUUAUAUGCGCAAAAGAAUGUAGCCAUACUGUUAUAGAGGGGGGUGAAGCCUCAGUAUCUUCUUCUAUGCUGAAGUGAGCAAAGCCCAAUAAUCUUACCGAUAUUUGAAAGUAUGUGUGUUGAUUUUCAAGACACGGUGCAGGCUUUGCAUCAUUCCAAGCAUAAGGCAAGAUACACUUGGUUCAGUCUGGGGUCAGUGAUGUCAGCAAAUCAUUGGAAGAGUUCAGUAAGUGCAGUCUGUAUUUCAUUAUUUUUCUUACAAGGGAAGGCAUCACGGCAUAUAGUAAAUAAGUGAAGACCAUCGGACAGGCAACGUUUUUCUUUUCAGUGCUCUCCGCUGUGUCCGUGAUCAGAUUUGUGUGCAUAAAGAAGUGGAUGAACCUCUAACAUGUGUUCAUCACAUAAGAUCAUCAUAACAACCUUCCUUUUGGCAGGGGAGGGGCUAUUUUAGUUACGACCUGAGGCACAACGAGCAGGAGGAGUUGGCCAACUGGAGUGCUAGAUUCAGGGCAAGUUUGCCUAAGCACUUUUAUUAGUUCCGUUGAUAAUACCAGGACUGGAGAACUGAAAGCCCUUGUAGAUGCUAGAGGAACAAGAUUGACAACGGCCUUUUGCAUUGCACUCUUGAUAAAGCUUCAAGCUCAAGGCCUUUGUGAAGUUUUCCAGGAAGAAGAUUGACUAUAGCAUCUUGGAGUGCACUAAUAUUAAUAAAUAAACCCUUCAAUUUUUUUUGUCGCCCAAAGGCUACAAGUUCUGUAAUUUACCCAAAUACUUAGCAUUUUCUCUACCCAAAUAAGAGUGUAAUGUUUCAGAUCAUAUAUUCCCAGUAUUAUUAAGACAUCAUGUAUGUGAAGUUAUUUGUGC